UUUCCGUAGGUGAACCUGCGGAAGGAUCAUUCAUAAUAAAGUGUUUUAUGGCACUUUUUAAAAAUCCAUAUCCACCUUGUGUGCAAUGUUAGAUCUCGUCAAUCUUGGCGAGAUUUUUAUACAUCAGCUCAUUCUUUAACUAAUUUGUCUGAAAAAUAUUAUGAAUACUUAAUUCAAAAUACAACUUUCAACAACGGAUCUCUUGGCUCUCGCAUCGAUGAAGAACACAGC
rnacentral:misc_RNA from 1 species